ACGGGAGGCAGCAGUGGGGGAUAUUGCACAAUGGGGGAAACCCUGAUGCAGCAACGCCGCGUGAGGGAAGAAGGUUUUCGGAUUGUAAACCUCUGUCCUUGGUGAAGAUAAUGACGGUAGCCGAGGAGGAAGCUCCGGCUAACUACGUGCCAGCAGCCGCGGUAAUACGUAGGGAGCGAGCGUUGUCCGGAUUUACUGGGUGUAAAGGGUGCGUAGGCGGAAUAUCAAGUCAGUAGUGAAAACCAUGGGCUUAACUCAUGACGUGCUAUUGAAACUGAUGUCCUUGAGUGAGUCAGAGGCAGGCGGAAUUCCCGGUGUAGCGGUGAAAUGCAUAGAGAUCGGGAGGAACACCAGUGGCGAAGGCGGCCUGCUGGGGCUUAACUGACGCUGAGGCACGAAAGCGUGGGGAGCAAACAGGAUUAGAUACCCUGGUA
rnacentral:rRNA from 1 species